UACGUAGGUGACCAGCGUUGUCCGGAUUUACUGGGCGUAAAGAGCGCGCAGGCGGUCGUUCAAGUCGAGUGUGAAACCUCCAGGCUCAACCUGGAGACGCCACCUGAUACUGCUGUGACUCGAGUCCGGUAGGGGAGCGGUGGAAUUCCUGGUGUAGCGGUGAAAUGCGCAGAUAUCAGGAGGAACACCAGCGGCGAAGGCGGCGCUCUGGGCCGGAACUGACGCUGAGGAGCGAAAGCGUGGGUAGCAAACAGG
rnacentral:rRNA from 1 species